UCUUAUAUAUCUCAUUAGUCAUUACAGCCGCCCCUCUCUUGCCUCGUCUCUCCACCCUCUUCUCUCUUCACACCCUCUUCUCUAGACUCUAGUUAUCCUCGUCUCUGUGACAGUCUUCACUCUUCACCUCUGUUUUUGUUCACUCUUCGCCUCUCAAUCCAUCACCUCUCAAUCCAUUGUUGACCAGAUUCGAAGCAACGGCGACCUCUUCGUGUGUAUCUACCUCUUUUCCGUGAUGGAUCUUCUUAUUCUGGAAGACGACGCCGCCGACGGCCAUCCCGUGGCUGAACUGUAACUGUGUGGCUUCGGGCUCCACUGUGUACGCCAUCACGGAGGGUUCUCGUAUCUGUUCGGUGAACGCCGCCGAUCUCUUAGGUUGCUGGAGUGCGAUUCAGGCCAGUGCUAGUAAACCUUCAGUUUAUUUUCCUUCAAGAUAGGGAAUCCAUUGCCCUAACCCUUCCCAAGAUGUAAAGUUAAAGUUUUUCAUUGGAAAAUAGACCCAAAUGAAACUCUAUCUCGGAUUGAGGAGGUGUCAGUCCUCCCUCUAGUCUCUACCCUGCCCAAGGAUAAUGCCUCCUCAGUCAUCUGGUAUACUUGUGGGGAAGAAAGCUCAACGUGAAGUGAGUGGUAUCGGAAAAAUAUUGAGCAAGGAUGUAUAUGAAGCAGUUUAUGAUAAGAAUCUUGCAAAAAUGCUACUAUAUGGAAGGAGUAAAAAAAAAUUCCAAGGAUGUGGGAUGCUUGGAACAAUUGGAAGGACGAACAUGGAUACUGAAAUAUAUAUAUAUAUAUAUAUAUAAAUAUAUAUAUAUAUUUUUUAUGGUAUAUUCCAGCUUUUGCUCCAUAUCAUCUCACUAUUUGUCACUUAAUUUUGCGCUCCUGUUUUAUGUAAAUUAGAGUAUGCCCCCUUGACAAUUGUUAUCUUUGGCCUUUUAGCUUAUUAUGGAAACCUUACUUAUCAAAAAGAAAAACUAAAUUAGAGUA